rnacentral:lncRNA from 1 species
AAAGAAAUUUAUUACAAAAAUCGCUAAAAUUUUACAAUAAUUUAGUUUAAGUACAGCUUAUAUGGAAAUUAUAUUAAAAAAGAUAGGACACCGAUGAGUUGAAAAAGAUAUUUCAAUUUUAGAGCCAAAAAAUGGCAUUUUUCCACCAAAGGGAGAUAAUUUGGAACUUUUUCAAUGAAAUAUACAUUUUGAAAGUCAUCUGGGGCCAACACGAAUUGAUUGUUUUGAAUGAUUUUUGUACCAUAUGAUAAAGUAACAACUACAAAAGGAAAUAAAUAAAAUUUGUAAUGAAAAAGAAAUGUUUGAUUUUUUUCUGAAAUUUUUAUACCCUCGAGCCUCCUUAAGCGCUAUUG